UCUGGUGCCAGCAGCCGCGGUAAUUCCAGCUCCAAUAGCGUAUAUUAAAGUUGUUGCAGUUAAAAAGCUCGUAGUUGGAUUUCUGUUAAUAUUUUAUAUUAUUAAUUUAUUAUUAUUAAUAUAAUAUUAACAUAAUUCAUAUUACUUUUUAAGUAUAUGAAAUUUUACUUUGAGAAAAUUAGAGUGCUUAAAGCAGGCUUUUGCCUUGAAUACUCCAGCAUGGAAUAAUAUUAAAGAUUUUUAUCUUUCUUAUUGGUUCUAAGAUAGAAAUAAUGAUUAAUAGGGACAGUUGGGGGCAUUUGUAUUUAACAGUCAGAGGUGAAAUUCUUAGAUUUGUUAAAGACAAACUAAUGCGAAAGCAUUUGCCAAGGAUGUUUUCAUUAAUCAAGAACGAAAGUUAGGGGAUCGAAGACGAUCAGAUACCGUCGUAGUCUUAACCAUAAACUAUGCCAACUAGAGAUUGGAGGUUGUUCCUUACUCCUUC
rnacentral:rRNA from 1 species